CCGUUGAAACUCCAAACUUUCUGGACGCGCAACGGGUAGCAGUUGGGUCUUGGCGGCUGCAUUCGACUGGUUGUUAUACGAAAAUCUUUCGAAGUUCUAAUCUCCCGCGCGUUUUGUCUUGCAAUUUUUUAGCAUAGCGAGAACGUACGCCGUGCUGUCCAAUGAUAAAAACUGUUGAACGCAGCAGAGCUCCCAGAGUACUGUGGUGGACAGCGUUUCUUUGUUCUCUGGCUUUCAAGUUUAAGGGGUGCUUGGACUAUCUUGCAUCGGUGGAUAUGAAAAUAGUGGUAACCUACCCUACGAAACAUCUAUUUGCACAUAAGCUUAACAGUUCCCUGUGAGUCAGCAGGGAAGUGCGGUGUAGAAGAAACGACUGCCAGAAGCUUGCUAAGGAACCGCACAACAUGUGUGGGCAGCAGACAAAAUAUUCAUCAAACGGUA